AAGUCGUAACAAGGUUUCCGUAGGUGAACCUGCGGAAGGAUCAUUAGCGAAGUUCGGAAUGCCGGUUCGGUGCUGAAGCUGCCCAGCGAUGGGAUGUGCUCGUCCGGGCCGGUGUCCCUUCUCUAUUCCACCCCACUGUGAACCAAGCGUGCGAGCAGAAGAGAGAUCGGAAGCUCGCAUGCACACUUUAACAUACCCCUUAUGAAGUAUCUGAAUGUACCUUGCGUUAACUCGCACAAAUACAACUUUCAACAACGGAUCUCUUGGCUCUC
rnacentral:misc_RNA from 1 species